UACGAAGGAUGCGAGCGUUAUCCGGAUUUAUUGGGUUUAAAGGGUGCGUAGGCGGUCUUAUAAGUCAGUGGUGAAAUCUUGUCGCUUAACGACAAACGUGCCAUUGAUACUGUAGGACUUGAGUACAGAUGCCGUUGGCGGAAUGUGUCAUGUAGCGGUGAAAUGCAUAGAUAUGACACAGAACACCGAUUGCGAAGGCAGCUGACGAAACUGUAACUGACGCUGAUGCACGAAAGCGUGGGGA
rnacentral:rRNA from 1 species